CAAUAGCGUAUAUUAAAGUUGUUGCAGUUAGAACGCUCGUAGUCGGAUUUCGGGGCGGGCCGACCGGUCUGCCGAUGGGUAUGCACUGGUCGGCGCGUCCUUCCUUCCGGAGACCGUCCCUACUCUUAACUGAGCGGGGGCGGGAGACGGGACUUUUACUUUGAAAAAAUCAGAGUGUUUCAAGCAGGCAGCUCGCUCUUGCAUGGAUUAGCAUGGGAUAAUGAAAUAGGACUUUGGUGCUAUUUUGUUGGUUUCGAACACCGAAGUAAUGAUGAGAAGGGACAGUCAGGGGCACUCGUAUUCCGCCGAGAGAGGUGAAAUUCUCAGACCAGCGGAAGACGAACCACUGCGAAAGCAUUUGCCAAGGAUGUUUUCAUUGA
rnacentral:rRNA from 1 species